rnacentral:rRNA from 1 species
AUUGAACGCUGGCGGCAGGCCUAACCCAUGCAAGUCGAGUGGAGCGUCGGCCGGGCGAUUAAUGCCUAGAAAUCUGCUUGGUAGUGGGGAUUAAGGGCGGGAACCGGGCGCUAAUACCGAAUAUAACCAGAGGACCCAAGGUCGGAUGGGCAGGUUGGUGGGGUAAAGGCCUACCAAGGCUACGAUCCGUACCUGGUCUGAGAGGAUGAUCAGUCACACUGGAACUGAGACACGGUCCAGACUCCUACGGGAGGCAGCAGUGGGGAAUAUUGGACAAUGGGCGCAAGCCUGAUCCAUCCAUACCGCGUGUGUGAAGAAGGUCUUCGGAUUGUAAAGCACUUUAAGUUGGGAGGCGUUACCAACAGAAUAAGCACCGGCUAACUUCGUGCCAGCCGCCGCGGUAAUAC